rnacentral:rRNA from 1 species
AACGAACGCUGGCGGCAGGCUUAACACAUGCAAGUCGAGCGCCCCGCAAUGGGGAGCGGCAGACGGGUGAUAACGCGUGGGAAUCUACCUUUUGCUACGGGAACAACAGUUGGAAACGACUGCUAAUACCGUAUGUGCCCUCGGGGGGAAAGAUUUAUCGGCAAAGGAUGAGCCCGCGUUGGAUUAGCUAGUUGGUGAGGUAAAGGCUCACAAGGCGAGCGAUCCAUAGCUGGUCUGAGAGGAUGAUCAGCCACACUGGGACUGAGACACGGCCCAGACUCUACGGGAGGCACGCAGUGGGGAAUAUUGGACAAUGGGCGCAAGCCUGAUCCAGCCAUGCCGCGUGAGUGUGAAGGCCCUAGGGUUGUAAAGCUCUUUCACCGGUGAAGAUAAUGACGGUAACCGGAGAAGAAGCCACCGCUAACUUCGUGCCAGCAGCCGCGGUAAUACGAAGGGGGCUAGCGUUGUUCGGAUUUACUGGGCGUAAAGCGCACGUAGUGCGGAUUUUGUAAGUCAGGGGUGAAAUCCCGGGGCUCAACCCCGGAACUGCCUUUGAUACUAAGUCUUGAGUAUGGUAGAGGUGAGUGGAAUUCCGAGUGUAGAGGUGAAAUUCGUAGAUAUUCGGAGGAACACCAGUGGCGAAGGCGGCUCACUCGGACCAUUACUG